GAAGAAAUCGUCACGCGCCCGUUCAACCCCGCGUCGUCCGGGACAUCGUACGCCGAUGGUAUCGAGGCUUGCAGGGGCGGCGGCGAAUCUCCUGAUCUCAUCACGCUGCAACACAACUUUUUUCUGUUCUCGAUACUGCAAAUUCCACACUUGGACUGAAACGAAAAACACGAAACGAGAAAUGUCGAACGAUGCAGAAAAUAAUGUUUGAACGCUCAACCGUCUGCUGACCAACGACGCAACAUUUUUUCGUCGUCGAGCCACUCGAAUCGAAUCCCUCUUAUCGUUCAACCUAUCAUCGAGUUAUUUCAAGACAAAAAAUAUUAUUCCGAGCAAAUUUGCAUUAUAAUUUGCAGCGAGACUUUUGCGCGGGCAUUGAUCGAGGUUCAAAGUAUUUCUCUGUCGACAAAUACCUCGGGAAUGAAUUUCGGAUAAUUCUAUUUUUAAACGCGAUAUUCGAGGACGAACAACAAUCGUGUAUCGAUAACUCUACUAUUUCUGUCUCGUGAAUUCGUCGUUCGAGCAUAACGAUGCGAUCGAUUUGUCAUCGAGGUCGUUUAACCGGUCUGCUCUCGUUGACAUUGUUUUCAAAUCGCACGCGCGCGCACAUGGGUGCAAGAGAGAAGACUGGAAUGAAUUUUGAAGGAUUUUCCUCGAGAUUUCGAGACUUUGAAUAUGAAAUUCCGAACGCCAACGGACGAAAAAAAAUACAGGCAAAAAUACAUUUUAAAAAGUCAAAAAUCAGAA